UAAUUGAGAAUUGUAUGUGUUUCAACAAAAGAAGUCUGUGAUUACAGAAAUUGUUUGAAGCAAGAUUGGUUGAAAUGAAAGACUGUUAUUUCUGAUGUUGGAUGGAAUUUGUGUAUUUUGAGUGGUCUUUUGAGAGUGCAGGAUUCUACAAUGUUGUUAUUAAUUGAUGAAGGAGUAUUAUUAGUAGGAGAAAGUAUUGUAGUAUUCUUUGAUAUUUUAAUGGUUUGGAAUAUGGUUAAUUAUGUGAUCUUAAUAUGUAAGCUCAUGCGGUUAGUCUUUCCUUGUGUUCAAAUCCCCUUCUACAUAUUUAUUCUGAAAGAAAUUUGUAGAAUAAGU
rnacentral:lncRNA from 1 species